AAGGUAUUGAAUAAGAUUUUAAUUGAAUGCUAAGAGAAUGGAUAGACAGGGAAAUUCUUUUUUAAUUUCAAAAAUUAAAGUUAUUUUUGUAAGUGAAGAAACUACAAUAAAAAUUAAGGACAAGAAGACCCUAAGAAUUUUGUAUAACUUUUUUAUAAAAUUUAUAAAUUUUUAUUUUAAUUGGGGCGAUUGAUAAAAAUAUAAAACUUUAUAUCCAAAAAAAAA
rnacentral:rRNA from 1 species